UACAGAGGGUGCGAGCGUUGUCCGGAAUUACUGGGCGUAAAGCGUGCGUAGACGGUUAUGUAAGUCGGGUGUGAAAGCCCCGGGCUCAACCUGGGAAUUGCAUUCGAGACUGCAUAGCUAGGGUGCGGAAGAGGGAAGCGGAAUUUCCGGUGUAGCGGUGAAAUGCGUAGAUAUCGGAAGGAACACCAGUGGCGAAAGCGGCUUCCUGGUCCAGCACCGACGUUCAGGCACGAAAGCGUGGGGAGCAAACAGG
rnacentral:rRNA from 1 species